rnacentral:tRNA from 1 species
GCCUGGGUGGCUCAGUGGUUGAGCACCUGCCUUUGGCUCAGGUCAUGAUCCCGGAGUCCUGGGAUCAAGUCCCACAUUAGGCU